GGAGUUAGCCGGUGCUUCUUCUGUGAGUGAUGUCCUUCCUGCCGGCUAUUAACCCGCAGGCCUUCUUCCUCACUGAAAGUGCUUUACAACCCGAAGGCCUUCUUCACACACGCGGCAUGGCUGGAUCAGGGUUGCCCCCAUUGUCCAAUAUUCCCCACUGCUGCCUCCCGUAGGAGUCUGGGCCGUGUCUCAGUCCCAGUGUGGCUGAUCAUCCUCUCAGACCAGCUACGGAUCGUCGCCUUGGUGAGCCGUUACCUCACCAACCAGCUAAUCCGACAUAGGCUCAUCCGAUAGCGCGAGGCCCGAAGGUCCCCCGCUUUCCCCCGUAGGGCGUAUGCGGUAUUAGCCUGGGUUUCCCCAGGUUAUCCCCCACUACCGGGCAGAUUCCUAUGCAUUACUCACCCGUCCGCCGCUCGCCACCAGGGAGCAAGCUCCCCGUGCUGCCGCUCGACUUGCAUGUGUAGUCGUCGCCGCCACGCGUUCUACUCUCGAGACCGACAACUACAACUACUACGACGUAGUAGGCGGGCGUCGGCGACGGACGGCGACGUAG
rnacentral:rRNA from 1 species